AGGGGUGUAGGUUUAACGGCAGACCGCCGGUCUCCAAAACCGGAUGUGGGGGUUCGAAUCCCUCCACCCCUG
rnacentral:tRNA from 1 species